rnacentral:rRNA from 1 species
UACGAAGGGGGCUAGCGUUGCUCGGAAUCACUGGGCGUAAAGGGCGCGUAGGCGGCCAACUAAGUCAGACGUGAAAUCCCCAGGCUCAACCUGGGAACUGCGUCUGAUACUGGUUGGCUUGAAUCCGGGAGAGGGAUGCAGAAUUCCAGGUGUAGCGGUGAAAUGCGUAGAUAUCUGGAGGAAUACCGGUGGCGAAGGCGGCAUCCUGGACCGGCAUUGACGCUGAGGAGCGAAAGCCAGGGGAGCAAACGGG